AUUGAACGCUGGCGGCAUGCCUAACACAUGCAAGUCGAACGGGGCAGCAAUGCCUAGUGGCGGACGGGUGAGGAAUACGUAGGAAUCUGCCCUUAAGUGGGGGAUAACCAGGGGAAACCCUGACUAAUACCGCAUGAUCUCUUCGGAGCAAAGAGGGGGACCGCAAGGCCUCUCGCUUCUGGAUGAGCCUACGUCUGAUUAGCUAGUUGGUAGGGUAAAGGCCUACCAAGGCGACGAUCAGUAACUGGUCUGAGAGGAUGAUCAGUCACACCGGAACCGAGAAACGGUCCGGUCUCCAAGGGGAGGGAGCAGUGUGGAAUAUUUGAUAAGGGGCGCAAGCCUGAUCCAGCAAUGCCGCGUGUGUGAAGAAGGCCUUAGGGUUGUAAAGCACUUUAGCCUGGAAAGAAAAAACUUUGGUUAACACCCAAAGUCUUGACGGUACCAGGAGAAUAAGCACCGGCUAACUCUGUGCCAGCCGCCGCCGUAAGAC
rnacentral:rRNA from 1 species